rnacentral:ncRNA from 2 species
CACUAUUCUCAGGGCGGGGUGUGAUUCCCCACCGGCGGUAAAUCGUCAGUCAUAUGACUUGCGAAAGCCCGCGAGCGCUCGGCGUUGCCGAGGACAGCAGAUCUGGUGCCAUCAACCGCAGUUGAUUAUUCCAGAGCCGACGGUGUUGCCAAUUGCAGAUUGGUUCAGUCCGGAUGGGAGAGAAUAUGA